AAAUAAUUCUACCUGAAUCAAUGUCACAACGGCACUGACCUUUCCAUAGUAAUUAGUAAGUGCUGUUUGUUGGAGUUGUACAGGA
rnacentral:pre_miRNA from 1 species